GCGUACGGAGCGGGCACGACGCUGACACGUCCGAGGACCGACCUGUGGCGUAAGGAGCGCCGCGGUUUGGUUUUGGUUUGUUUCCUAAGGACCUUACAGAGAAGCUCCCAGGUCAGAAGACAGAGACAUCCGGACGAAGCCUGCAGGUUCUCUUCAUCUGAGGCUGACUUGAUAAAUUCUCUAUUAUCUGAGAACAACUGGCAGACUAGGAAAGGUCUUUGAGAAAAAGAGGAUCGGGCAGGCUUGAAGAAAAGAAAUAGCCAGCCAGAUGACAGGAAAGUGUUGAAGCUGGUUUUUAUUUGAAUCUCGAUCACCGUCCAUCCCUAACUCCAAGACAUCAUUCCUGCCUGCAUCGGAUGAAGCUCCCCACCCCUCGUCAUCCUCGGGUAUGUGUCUGCUAAGUUUGUGAUUCAACCUUUAAAGCGCCCUGGAGUAAAGCCACAGUGCCAUUC